rnacentral:rRNA from 1 species
UACGUAGGGUGCAAGCGUUAAUCGGAAUUACUGGGCGUAAAGCGUGCGCAGGCGGUUGUGCAAGACAGAUGUGAAAUCCCCGGGCUACAACCUGGGAACUGCAUUUGUGACUGCACGGCUGGAGUGCGGCAGAGGGGGAUGGAAUUCCGCGUGUAGCAGUGAAAUGCGUAGAUAUGCGGAGGAACACCGAUGGCGAAGGCAAUCCCCUGGGCCUGCACUGACGCUCAUGCACGAAAGCGUGGGGAGCAAACAGG